rnacentral:rRNA from 1 species
UACAGAGGGUGCAAGCGUUAAUCGGAUUUACUGGGCGUAAAGCGUGUGUAGGUGGUUUAACAAGUCGGUUGUGAAAUCCCUGGGCUCAACCUGGGAACUGCUUCCGAGACUGUUCGACUAGAGUACGGUAGAGGGCGGUGGAAUUUCCGGUGUAGCGGUGAAAUGCGUAGAUAUCGGAAGGAACACCAAUGGCGAAGGCAGCCGCCUGGGCCUGUACUGACACUGAGACACGAAAGCGUGGGGAUCAAACAGG